AGAGGAUCAGUGGCGGCGGGCCCGCGCGGUGCCGGCGACUAGCAGCGAGAUGUCCUGGCCCCUUCCAGGUUUGGGAGAAUGGAGAGAGCAAGGUGUAGCUGAUUAGCAAGUUAAUUAUUUCAGUACCCCAAGGGUUCAUGCGUGGUGGAGAUGGCCUUGGGAGAGCAACCUCCGGACCUCAGCAGUGUGAGGAUGACAACAGUACCCUGUGGUGCUGUCCCCACUCAGGGUUUCUCUCUGUAGCCCCGACUGUCCUGGAACUCACUCUGCAGACCAGGCUGUCCUCAAGCUCAGAGAUCUACCUGCCUCUGCCUCUGAAGUACUGGGAUUAAAGAUGCAGAGGCCUCCCAGAGAAGUGUGAAGGAAUGGGCCUUAACCAGGGUUGAAGAAAGAAAGUGAAGAAGGGGAGAGCCCAAGGAAAGGGUCUGGUACAGAAGAGGGAGCCCAGAUAUGGUACAGAAGCCUUGGAUCCUAAAUCUUGGGCUGGAGAGCCCCUCCUCAGCCUGCUUUCCCUGGGCCUGGGGAACAUCACACCCCAGGAUGCCCCAGAACAUGAUGGAUUCCCCAGGUACCUUCAAAGGGCCCAGCAUUUGUUUGCAGUGUGGACCUUGAAUCUUGCUCUGGUCAUAAACGUUGUUUAUUUUGACGAGGACCUACUGAAAGGGGGCUGUGGAGCAGGAAGGGCAAAGAGAAAUCAAUGGGGGAAGAUCAUAAAGCCAUUAGCGGGGUAGGGCUUGUAGGGGUCAUAGGAUCAUAGAAAUUUUCUGGCUAGAGAGAACACAGGCCACCAGAAAGGUCAGAGAUGGUCAUUAUGUCAUCAAGAGGCCUCUAAGGGCCACAUGGGGCUAGAGGUGGGGCUUGAGGCCUCUUAUGUGAAGAAUCUUCCUAGAAAAUGGAUGUAGGGUAUGGGGCAUGACCCCCCAGUAACCUUCUACCAGGUGGGGGAGGCUGGGGGUUGCUAAACGUGAUGGAUUUGCCCUCCUAGGGUGAAGAACCAACUGCCAGUUACAUAGCAGAUCCUCCUGCUUUGGGGAAUGGGCACAGCUCCUGGGUAAAGAAUUUUGCCUCUACUGUUAUUUACUGAAAUAUAUAUAUAUAUCAGGUGCUGUA
rnacentral:lncRNA from 1 species